rnacentral:sRNA from 1 species
GCUGGGCGUAGUGGCGCACGCCUGUUAUUCUAGCAGCUCUGGAGGCUGAGGCAGAAGUAUCACGAGUUCAAAGCCAGCCUCAGCAAUAGCCAGGCACUAAGCUGCUCAGUGAGACCCUGUCUCUA